AUGAAGACAUCCACGGGAGCUUUAAUCAUGUUCUCAUGGCUGCAGCUGAACUGGUUCAGCCAAGGAGAGAAGGUGGAGCAGCAUCCUUCUACCCUGAGUGUGCAGCAGGGAAGCAGCUCUGUUAUCAACUGCAGUUAUUCAGACAGUACCUUCGUCUACUUCCCUUGGUAUAAGCAAGAGUUUGGAAAAGGUCCCCAGCUCCUUAUAGACAUUCGUUCAAACAUGGCCAAAAAAGAAGACCAAAGACUCACUGUUUUUUUCAAUAAGAUGGCCAAACAUCUCUCCCUGCACAUCGCAGACACCCAGCCUGAAGACUCAGCUGUGUACUUCUGUGCAGCAAGCACACAUUGCUUCCCAGGCACCUGCUGCCUGCACUCAAACCUGGGUGUGGGGGAGCCCCCUGUCCUUUGA